rnacentral:rRNA from 1 species
AACGAACGCUGGCGGCAUGCCUAACACAUGCCAGUCGAACGAUGCUUUCGGGCAUAGUGGCGCACGGGUGCGUAACGCGUGGGAAUCUGCCCUUGGGUUCGGAAUAACAGUGAGAAAUUGCUGCUAAUACCGGAUGAUGUCUUCGGACCAAAGAUUUAUCGCCCAGGGAUGAGCCCGCGUAGGAUUAGCUAGUUGGUGGGGUAAUGGCCUACCAAGGCGACGAUCCUUAGCUGGUCUGAGAGGAUGAUCAGCCACACUGGGACUGAGACACGGCCCAGACUCCUACGGGAGGCAGCAGUGGGGAAUAUGGGACAAUGGGCGCAAGCCUGAUCCGCAAUGCCGCGUGAGUGAUGAAGGCCUUAGGGUUGUAAAGCUCUUUUACCCGGGAUGAUAAUGACAGUACCGGGAGAAUAAGCUCCGGCUAACUCCGUG